GUGUUUAAAAUUGUCAUUUAAAAUACUUGAGGUACCGAAAAUCCUAAUGCCCAGAAAUCUUUGACUAUAACAAUCAAAGCAUAAUUAAAUUAAACUUGAAGAAGAAGAAUACAUAUAGUGUUAAUCCUAAUUUCCACGAGGCGUCCAAGUAUCCGUCCUUCAAUAGUGAUCCAUACGAAAAUCAGAUCAAAGACAGUACUCCUCCUCCACCUUGCUUCAAGAAUUCUAGCUUCCUAGAAUUCGACUAGUCUUGUAUCAGUCAGCACUUCUCUAGACUUUUGAAUCUCCUUCUUUAGGACCUUCCAAUCCUUAUCUGGACCUGAUUAGACCGUGUCUUAAAUCCCAAAGCCUUGUCCUAAAACUAAGAUGGGCUGUAAGAAAGAAAGGAGAGCAACCGAGAGAAAAGGGAAAGCAGAUUGAAUGUUUUGAACACUCGGCGCACACACCUAUUUAUAGGUGUCAGAGGGACGUCCAAAUAUAAGGACACACCCCAUUCAAAUGUCCUAUCUGAUUUGCAUAUUAGGAAAAUAAGAGUCUUCAGACAGAAGGACUCUUCUACCUGAUACAUCGAUCAGAACAUUCAUCGGCACAUGCGACCAGAGAAGGGAUGUUUUUGCAUCCCUUCUCAAAUCAGAAAAAUUUAGAACUUGCCACGUGGCAAGAGGAUUUAAUUCUGAUUUCAAAAUGCCUGAUAAGGAGAUAAAAAUCCCACAAAAGAAUGACCUCUCACAUCUCUUCAUGCGAAAUUCUUAUCACCGCGCGCGCGCACGUGAAGAGGGGCUUCUGGCAUCCUGUUGACCUUCAGAUAUAUCUGAAAAAAAUUUAGAUAAAUAUUCAUAAAAGAAAAUUUUAAAUAAGGAACAUUAUCAGAUAAAUAUUUUUCCUAUUUAAAUAAAGUUCUAUCGUCAGAAGGACUCUUCUGACGUGAUGAGUCACUAGACUUCACCGCACGCGCACACGAGUUUCCUUCUUUCCAAAUUUUUUCUCCGCCCCAUAAAUUUCAGAAAAAAUACAUCUCAUGCUUUGAGAUGUGUACCAAAGGAUGGAGAGUGAUGUGGGCUGCC
rnacentral:lncRNA from 1 species